UCAUAUCAUUCAUGCAAUUGUUAUUUGUUCCUAUGAAACUGAUAUAGCUUUUGAAAUGUAAAACCUAUUAUUAAAAGGAUAAAACUACGUUCCCAAUUAAUAUUUUGAAAUGUGCCGUAUAGGUAUUAUAUUUAAACCCAUGCGAUUGUGUAUCUCUUUUGAAUUUGAUACAGAGUUUCAUGUUUGGAUACAUAAAUACGUGACGAUUUAAUUUUUACGAAUUUAAAUAGGUUUUAGUAAUAUAGGUUGUGACAAAAGUGUAUGUGACUUAACCUUGUUCGGCGCUGGUUUCACGCAAUUCGAAACAACAUCGAAACGACUCUGGUUUUCCUGCACGCGGCGCUGUACAAAAUACUCUGUUGCAAUACUUGCAAUCCUCUUUAUCUGCGUCCGAAGCAAUGACUGCAACGCAGGUGCAGCCCGGCUACGGGACCAUGAAACGAACUAUCCCAGUCAGGUUCCAACAAAGCACGAAGGCCUCUUCCCUUAUUGAGUUACGAGGAGCAAAGGCUUUGACACGUCACUACACCGAAACAAAACGAAGUUAUUUUAAAAACGCGCCUGAAAACUGAUCACCCCUGCCAAACACCGCAGCUGCUAUGUGCGAAAGAGACAACGGCCGAGCGUGGGAAAGAGAAAAUCGAUUUGCGUACUGAAACCACUAUGCGCUGAAGUGAGAUGAAAGCAAAACACAUUUUAUAAUACUUAAAAUAACAUUAAACAAAUUGUAGAAUAAUACAAAGGUCGUACCGCUACAAUAUUGAAUCAAACUACAAUAGCUACGAACAAAAAAAUAAUAGAUUCAUUCAAUAAUUGUUUGUGAGCGUGAAACAUUAAGGUAACGUUAAACAAAUAUUUUGAAACUUGAGUACUCUAUGCACGUGCUUCACAAUAACUUACCAACGGCGAUUUUCUCCACUGCAAAAGACUGUGCUGACAACAUCACUGCGUUUAACAAUAACAAGC